CCUACGGGAGGCAGCAGUGAGGAAUAUUGGUCAAUGGGCGCGAGCCUGAACCAGCCAAGUAGCGUGAGGGAUGACUGCCCUCCGGGUUGUAAACUUCUUUUAUAAAGGAAUAAAGUGAGGCACGUGUGCCUUUUUGUCUGUACUUUAUGAAUAAGGAUCGGCUAAUUCCGUGCCAGCAGCCGCGGUAAUACGGAGGUUCCGAGCGUUAUCCGGAUUUAUUGGGUUUAAAGGGAGCGUAGUGGGGUUGUUAAGUCUGUUGUGAAAGUUUGCGGCUCAACCGUAAAAUUGCAAUUGAUACUGGCAGGCUUGAGUACAGGUGAGGUAGGCGGAAUUCGUGGUGUAGCGGUGAAAUGCUUAGAUAUUACGAAGAACUCCGAUGGCGAAGGCAGCCUACUAAACAGCCACUGACAUUGAUGCGCGAAAGUGUGGGUAUCAAACAGGAUUAGAUACCCUUGUAGUC
rnacentral:rRNA from 1 species